UACGGAGGAUCCAAGCGUUAUCCGGAUUUAUUGGGUUUAAAGGGUGCGUAGGCGGCCUAUUAAGUCAGGGGUGAAAGACGGUGGCUCAACCAUCGCAGUGCCUUUGAUACUGAUAGGCUUGAAUACACUAGAGGUAGGCGGAAUGUGACAAGUAGCGGUGAAAUGCAUAGAUAUGUCACAGAACACCGAUUGCGAAGGCAGCUUACUAUGGUGUCAUUGACGCUGAGGCACGAAAGCGUGGGGAUCAAACA
rnacentral:rRNA from 1 species